AUGUACCAUUAAUGCCUGCAGAAACUCUUUAACCAUAUUCUAACCUGCUCUUUUAUUUAGAUACCCAAGUGCUUACAGUAUGUUCCCUUUAGUCUGGAUUUAUCAAAUAACAUGCAGGAUCCAUCUGCCUCUGUGGAGAAAAAGAGGGAUACUACUGAGAUGUCUGAUCGAGUACAUAGGGGAGAGACAAGAAGAACUCAUUAAUGACCACCACAUGUGUCAAAGUCGUGAUAAAACUGAGGUGCACGCAGUUGCACAACGAACAUUUACAUAUAAAAGCCUGAUGCCAUCUGCAUUAUCACAGAAGGACAUCCAGUCGUCAGAGGUCUGACCAACCUGUCACAAGCAUGCUGCCUUCUCUUUAGACUUACCUAUGGCCUGGAACUUAAGUACUUAAGUUUGUAAUGUGCCUUUAAGGGAAAUGGACUUAACUUUUUUGUUUUUUACCAGUCAAUACCAUGAAAUAGAUACUCAACCAUAUUGUGUGCACAAUCUAGCAGUUCUUCAAAAUUAAUAUGUUCAAAAUAGGGCUCAGCAAUAUGGUUACAAAUCAUACUUACUGCAAUUAUGUUAAUAUUGCAGUAUUAAUGGGAUGCUGUGAAGUCUCACAUUUACCUUUUAUUGCAGGUAAUGGUUACAUUUAUGGCCUGUUUUGUAAUGGUACUGAUACUGUUAGAAGUGAAACCUUUGAA